rnacentral:rRNA from 1 species
UGGGGGAUAUUGCACAAUGGAGGAAACUCUGAUGCAGCAACGCCGCGUGAGGGAAGAAGGUCUUCGGAUUGUAAACCUUUGUCCUUGGUGACGAUAAUGACGGUAGCCAAGGAGGAAGCCACGGCUAACUACGUGCCAGCAGCCGCGGUAAUACGUAGGUGGCGAGCGUUGUCCGGAUGUACUGGGUGUAAAGGGUGCGUAGGCGGGUUAUCAAGUUGGGUGUGAAACCUCCGGUCUUAACACGGAGCCUGCAUUCAAAACUGGUAAUCUUGAGUGAGGUAGAGGUAGAUGGAAUUCCCGGUGUAGCGGUGAAAUGCGUAGAGAUCGGGAGGAACACCAGUGGCGAAGGCGGUCUACUGGGCCUUAACUGACGCUGAGGCACGAAAGCAUGGGUAGCAAACAGG